GAUGUCCUACGGGACGCAGCAGUGGGGAAUAUUGCACAAUGGGGGGAACCCUGAUGCAGCGACGCCGCGUGAGUGAAGAAGUAUUUCGGUACGUAAAGCUCUAUCAGCAGGGAAGAAAAAAUGACGGUACCUGACUAAGAAGCCCCGGCUAACUACGUGCCAGCAGCCGCGGUAAUACGUAGGGGGCAAGCGUUAUCCGGAUUUACUGGGUGUAAAGGGAGCGUAGACGGCAUUGCAAGUCUGAUGUGAAAGAUUGGGGCUCAACCCCAGGCCUGCAUUGGAAACUGUAAAGCUGGAGUACAGGG
rnacentral:rRNA from 1 species